GGGAAUCAGACCCAAAGGCUCAACUGAUGAACUAGCUUGGUUUCUGCCAUUCCAGCCUUCUAGGAACUCAUAUUCAGGUUCUAAGACGCUAGGCCAGAAGUAGUGCAACUAUUUAACACUGAGAACCCACUACAGCUAAGUCGGGAUCAGGACCCUGUUCUUUAAAAUGAGCCAUGAAUCUCCAUAACCAAAAUUGAUGCCAAAGUAAUUGAGAGCAAAAGGAUGAGAGCAGCAGCACCAGAAGAAAGAAAUUUUCAAUAGAAACAUAACAUCUGGAUGGGAUCGAUAAAAGAAAAAGGUUGGUCUCUUUGGUUCAAGUAAAUGACUCCUCUGCAGAGUUACAAUAUAAGGGACA